rnacentral:rRNA from 1 species
AACGAACGCUGGCGGCGUGGAUUAGGCAUGCAAGUCGAACGAGAACGUACCUUCGGGGUGCUAGUAAAGUGGCGAACGGGUGAGUAACGCGUGGGAAACCUGCUUCCGACUGGGGAAGUAACAGUCCUAACGGACUGCUAAUACCGCAUGACGCCCUCGAACGCAUGUUCGAGGUUUAAAGGUGGCCUCUACUUGUAAGCUACCGGUUGGAAAUGGCCCGCGUCCUAUUAGUUUGUUGGUGGGGUAACGGCUACCAAGGCAUCGAUGGGUAGCCGGCGUUGAGAGAGUGGUCGGCCACACUGGGACGUGAGAUACGGCCCAGACUCCUACGGGAGGCAGCAGUCGAGAGGCUUCGGCAAUGGGGGAAACCCUGACCGAGCGACGUCGCGUGGGUGAUGAAGAUCUUUGGAUCGUAAAACCCUGUCAGGUGGGAAGAAACACCAUUCGGUUAAUACCUGAGUGGCUUGACGGUACCACCAGAGGAAGCUCCGGCUAACUCCGUG